CAUUAAACUCGUCACUUUACCUUCAAUAAUGGUUCAAAUUACUAAAAAAUUUAGUAUUAAACUUUUAAAAUUAUUGAAUAGUAUAAACUUGAUAUUUACUAAAAUAGUAGGGAGGUGCAUUAUUUGGCUGCCAAAUCUUUUCAGUGCUUGAUGGUGGAGGUCACUGAGGGAUGGCAUUUCCAGGGUGGAGAGAGUAUUGAUGUAGCCUGAGUAUUCUGAAGAUCAAUUUAACCUAAGCCAAUCUACGUAUUACAAUGUGUUGGCGAAUCUUUCUUUUUCAGAUCAUGGGACAACAGACCACGAGUGAAGCUUCUCACAAUACACAACGGUGUUCCUUCAGGUCAAUUUUAACGUUUUGUGUGAUGGUGUGGGUGUGCGUAGCUUGCUAUGGUGUCAUUUAAUCUUUGGUGAGAGUGUAGCUGGGUGUGGCUUGUUGUGGGGUCAUAUAACGUUUUGCGAGAGGGUGCAUGUGGGAGGGAAUGUCUAAUCAGCUUUAAUAAACCUUGUGUAUAGUGCAUGAAGCAGUGUAGUACAGUACAGUACAGUAUAGUGUAAACUAAUGUGGAGGUAAUGAUUUAGGUAAACAGUUGGGGACAGUUUAAGUACAUGUGAUCUAUUUGCAAGUUUAAUUUUCAUUGUACGUAAAUUACAACUUUAAACACGUUGCAGGUAACAGCUGAUGUACGUGAAGGCCAAUGGAGAAGUGACAGAACCUUGAGCAAGAUUUAACAGCAGCAUGUUACUUCAGCCUCAUCAAUCAUGGGACAACAGACCACGAGUGAAGCUUCUCACAAUACACAACGGUGUUCCUUCAGGUAACAGCUGAUGUACGUGAAGGCCAAUGGAGAAGUGACAGAACCUUGAGCAAGAUUUAACAGCAGCAUGUUACUUCAGCCUCAUCAGUUAAGUUACUUGUACAGUAUAUCUUAGCUAGUAUCUUUAUCCAAUAAACCACUCGACAAUGCUCCUACACUGGGCAGUGGAGGGUGUGUGUGGGGCCGCCUAACACUGAUUCCAAAAAUGCCAUUCAUUUUGCCCAAUCAGGUCAGAUUUUUAUGCUAUGGGAAUUGGGAAAAAA